rnacentral:rRNA from 1 species
UACGAAGGGGGGCUAGCGUUGUUCGGAAUUACUGGGCGUAAAGCGCGUGUAGGCGGGUCUUUAAGUCAGGGGUGAAAUGCCAGGGCUCAACCUUGGAACUGCCUUUGAAACUGUACGCUUGAGGCCGGGAGGGGGUAGCGGAAUUCCCAGUGUAGCGGUGAAAUGCGUAGAUAUUGGGAGGAACACCAGUGGCGAAGGGCGGCUACCUGGACCGGUUCUGACGCUGAGGCGCGAAAGCGUGGGUAGCAAACAGG